ACUAUUUACAUUAUCCACCACAGUUACUUUAUCCCUUCACCUGUGGAUGGGCAGGACAACCAAGUCCCUACAUGUCUCCUCUGGACACCAUGGGUUAAAUCUUCCAAGAGACAGCAACAGUCGUCAAAUCCUCCUCACCAUGACAGGAAGCAAGGAGGAAGGACCCUGAAGACCCUCGAUGUCCCUUCUCAGCAGCAAGCAGCUUCAGAGAAUGACCUCUGUCCCAUCUCCCAAAAGAUUUCUGAGCCCCAACUCCUUGAGGGAGAAAUGUAAGAGUAGACAGUCAAUAUGAGCAGGCAUGAAGGGGGGUAUCCAUGUUGGAAAGAACACCCAGGAACACCUUUUAGGAUGCCCAGCACUCACUCCAUGGUCGAAUUGUCAGAAUGUUGUUAACUAGAUUAUGAUAAGGAAGGAAAAAGGCAAAAGAGGAAUUCCUGAGAGCUGAGCAGGUACAAUUAGUACAAAACUCGCCAUUAGAUAGGAUUCAUAUUGAUCACUGGUUCCAGUGCAUGUGCAUUAAACACAGUAGGGGAGGAUCCCCAAACUUUGAUGAGAACUGGGUAAAAAAAGAACUGAGACAAUAGAAGAUCACAAUGCAGAAUGUCUUGGGGGUGUUUCUAGCAGGGUCAGCCCACUCCUCUCUUGGAGUGUUCUUGUAUUUCUCCAAUUAAACUUUUGCUUGCUUUACAAA